rnacentral:rRNA from 1 species
AGAAUCAACGCUGGCGGCGUGCCUAACACAUGCAAGUCGAACGAGAAAGUGGAGCAAUCCACAAGUAAAGUGGCGCACGGGUGAGUAACACGUGACUAACCUACCCUUGAGUGGGGGAUAACCUAGGGAAACCUGGGCUAAUACCGCAUAAUACCUACGGGUCAAAGGAGCAAUUCGCUUAAGGAGGGGGUCGCGGCCGAUUAGUUAGUUGGCGGGGUAAUGGCCCACCAAGACGAUGAUCGGUAUCCGGCCUGAGAGGGCGCACGGACACACUGGAACUGAAACACGGUCCAGACUCCUACGGGAGGCAGCAGUGGGGAAUUUUGCGCAAUGGGGGAAACCCUGACGCAGCAACGCCGCGUGGAGGAUGAAGUCCCUUGGGACGUAAACUCCUUUCGAUCGGAACGAUAAUGACGGUACCGGAAGAAGAAGCCCGGCUAACUUCGUGCCAGCAGCCGC